rnacentral:lncRNA from 1 species
AUCUGCUGCGGAAGCUGAGGCUAUCAGUGCAACAUUAGCUGCAGCGAAGGCACGGCAGGUCAACGGUGAAGUUGAGCAGCCAGAUAGGGAUCGUGGUGCUGAGGCUACACCCAGUGGAAAACCUUCAUCCUCCUUAAUUAAGCCUGACUCUGCGGUGUCGACUAGUGUUAUUCCUGCAGGGGUUCGACUUCAUCAUAGAGCUGUGAGUCAAACUAACUAUAUUAAGUAAAAGUUUUUUCUUUUUGCGAAACUAUUGAAGUUUAUAAACAUAUUUCCAACAUCAUGCUUCUUCACUUGCUAGUGUUGUACGUGUCUAUUUAUAAGUGCUAAUACUUUUUUAUUAUUUCUGGAACUUUGUAAGGUGGUGGUUGCUGCAGAAACAGGUGGAGCCUUAGGUGGAAUGGUUAGACAGUUAUCUAUUGAUCAAUUUGAAAAUGAGGGCCGCCGUGUUGGUUAUGGGACACCCGAAAGUGCAACAGCAGCAAGGAAAUUAUUAGAUCGGCAGCAGUCGAUCAAUAGUGUUCCGAAAAAGGUAAAGAUUUUUUCUCCAAAAUGUAGUACUGCAAGAAAGCAAAUAUGUUCAUGAAUGCCGAUUUAGAAGAACUGCAAAAUAUUGCUUCCUUAAAUUAUUGCAGAGAAAUUUUCUUGCUGUAACACCGGUCAUUUGGUUCAUCUGAUCGGAAUCAUAAUAGUAUUUAGAUACUGCUUGUUUAUUGUUCAAUGAUAUUAGUAGCCUAGAGGUUCCACUUGGCGGUUCCAACGUGGGACUAUUCAAUACCUUAUAAUGAUCAACUCUGUUUUAUUAGGUUGUAUCUCAUCUUUUGAAGCCUCGUGGGUGGAAGCCUCCUGUUCGACGCCAGUUUUUCUUGGAUUGCAAUGAAAUAGCUGAUCUUUGCGACAGUGCAGAACGUAUCUUCUCAAGCGAACCUACUGUAUUACAGCUUAGAGCUCCUAUUAAGAUAUUUGGUGAUUUGCAUGGUCAGUUUGGGGAUCUCAUGCGACUUUUUGAUGAAUAUGGUUCGCCAUCAACAGCUGGAGACAUAUCGUAAGUGCACAGCUCAGUCUCUAGUGCAAUAUCAUCUCUACUUUUGCCAUUGCUGUUUUUGAUCUGACAUUGCGUAUUAAUGGUUAUCAGAUAUAUUGAUUACCUCUUCUUAGGGGACUAUGUUGAUCGGGGUCAACACAGCUUAGAAACAAUUACACUCCUGCUCGCGUUAAAGGUAGUUUUAAGAGCACCAUAUCAGCGAUGUCUCUAUUACGGUAUUCUUCAUAAAAAAAGUCUGAUGUUCGAUGGUUAACGCUGCAGGUUGAAUACCAACAUAACGUACAUUUAAUUCGUGGAAACCAUGAAGCCGCCGAUAUUAAUGCUCUUUUUGGUUUCCGGAUAGAGUGUAUUGAGCGAAUGGUAAGUGUAUUAUCUUUGUGAAUAUCUUAUUCCCACUUUUAGGGUCUCAUGAAAGUUACUACUUUGCAGGGUGAACGUGAUGGGAUCUGGGUGUGGCACAGAAUAAACCGCUUAUUCAAUUGGCUACCUCUGGCUGCACUGAUUGAGAAGAAAAUUAUCUGUAUGCACGGGGGAAUUGGUCGGUCUAUAAAUCAUGUGGAGCAGAUAGAAAAUAUCCAACGUCCAAUUACGAUGGAGGCUGGGUCAAUUGUGCUUAUGGAUUUACUUUGGUAAGUUCAUGUCUAAUGCUAUUUCGUUCUUGUUUUUUACCUUAUCCUCUGCUCACUAGUAUGUGAAUUUGCAAUCUGUUAGGUCCGAUCCAACUGAAAAUGACAGUGUCGAAGGUUUAAGGCCAAAUGCUAGAGGCCCUGGGUUGGUUACUUUCGGGGUGAGUGGUCUUUGCUUCUUUUGUUUCAUACAGUUCACGUUUGAACUAAUCUCUCGUCUGUUUCCCUCUUCCAUAAGUAUUUCUUCCGGUUUUGUUACUUACUAAGAAACUGGCAAUUGCAGCCUGACCGAGUCAUGGAGUUCUGCAACAACAAUGAUCUUCAAUUGAUUGUACGUGCGCAUGAAUGUGUGAUGGAUGGGUUCGAGCGUUUUGCACAGGGGCAUUUGAUAACGCUCUUUUCGGCCACAAAUUAUUGUGGUAUGUCUCUGGAAUCGAAAACCUGCUACUUAAAUAGAAAACUUUACUGAUGAUAGUGUCUUAUGAAAUGACAUGUUUAUUUCUUCUCAGGAACUGCAAACAAUGCUGGGGCUAUCUUGGUGUUGGGGAGAGAUCUUGUGGUGGUUCCAAAGCUUAUCCAUCCAUUACCUCCAGCAAUUACAUCACCUGAAACUUCACCGGAAAGACAUAUAGAUGACACAUGGAUGCAGGUUUAUAUCACAAUCACAUUUUAAUCCUUCUUUUUAUUCACACGGAAAACUAGUUGAGCUGAUCAUUUAUUUUCAGGAGUUAAAUGCAAAUCGACCACCAACACCAACCAGAGGACGCCCACAAACCCCAGACGACCGUGGCUCUCUUGCUUGGAUUUAAACCCCUCCAGAGAAACAGAGACGCACUUGUGAGAUUGCUUACUUCUGAUAAGCCGCCUCUUAAUGAUGAUCCUCAUGUUGUGUACAGAUCCAACCAAAACCAUUCUUGAUCCACAAUGAUCUAUUGUGAGUUGGAUCACACUGAGAAUCAGUGAGAGCUCUUAAGAUACUGUGGGGAUUUCACAGAUGAUAAAAAGAGUGAAGAAGUCAAGCUGGAUGGUUUUGGAGGCGGUGAGUAUUAGUGAGCGAGGGAGAGUAUUUAUUGGGUAAAAGGGUUCUUGUUCAUUUUUGUUUGUCUUCUAUAUAUUUUCUCUGUGGCAUUGGGACACAACACAAGUGACUAGCAAAGGGGUUAUGGUUGGGAUAUUAGAGGUGUAUUAGUUUUUUAUAGGGGGGGGGAGGGGAAGGGUGUUUGUGUAUCAUAGAGAGGUGUGUGGGCAUUGUGUAAUUUCUUAAUUCCUAUUUUCAGUUUGUAAUUUAUAUUGGUGUGUUUAUUAUGAUUUGCAAAAAGUUGUCUCCCUCUUAUACUGGCAUGGACCAAAUAGUUAAGGAAGUUGAACUUUAUUGUUAUUGAUGUUUAUUUUUAGCAUCAUUCUCUUGAAUUCAAAUUUGUUCAGAGUGACAUGUACUUUACCUGCAUUUGGAGCCAAUGAAAAAAAAAUUAAACACAAGAAAAUCUUCCCAUAAGAGUGUUUUGUUGUCGAGAAUCUCUAGCAAUUGUUUCUCAUUCAUAGUAGAGAAAUCUAGGUCACAUUUCUUCAGAACAUGCUUACUUUGUACUACCAAGACCGAAUAAUACUGCAAAAUUUGACUUAUGCGGAUUAGGUGCAUUUAGAAGACCUCAUUAGUUUUUAUCGAGACUGGCAGUGGACCCUGAUGGUGCCGAUGGAAAAACCUUAGUCGAGACAUACCUAGCUUAUCGCUAAAAUUUUGCUUUCCUUGCCAAAUGAUACAUUUUUCGCUAGGAUAUAACCAACUGAAACUCUGGCUUUGGCCUCCAAUCUCUUUAAAAGUAUUGAAUAUAUAUGUUAAUAAAUAAAAAUAAAUAUGUUAAAAAAGUUACAAAUAGUUUUAAAAAUUAAUAUUGUUGAAAAGAAUAGUUUUACUUUUUUUUAUUAUUUUAGUAGAAAAUAAAAGAACUAAAAUCUUUAAAUUUGCCUAAAUAUACAUGUAAACUAAGAGUCUGACUGGUUCAAACGCAGCGGUUGCGGGAGUUUGCGGAUGCGGGUGGUUGUGAUUUCUAACGAUUAAAAGAGAUUUGUACGACUGGUUCUGCAGUUAGAAAUUUUGUGCGUUUGCAGGAUACUUAUGACUGGUUAACUACCAAAUACAACAACGGUUAAAUAAUAAAUUAAUAAUAUUUAUAUUUUAUAUAAUUAUAAAAUAUCAAAAACAUCAUAUUAUAAUAAAUAUAAAAAUUAUACUUAGAAAAUUAUAGAUUUAAAUUUUAAAGAAUUAUGGAAAAUGUUUUUUAUUUUAAAAUUUUACAAUAUUAAUUAAAAUAUAAUAGAUAUAUUUUAGUAUUUUUAUAGUUUCAACUUAAAAUUUUUAUUGAAUAUUUUUAUUUUUGUAUUUAUAUUGUUUAUUUUAUUUUUUAUCCUUCCGCAACCGCAAACGCUAACUGGUUUUGAAUUUAUGAAGUUUAGAACCGUUUGAAACGGUUUAGAACGGAUUGAAUGAUUAUUGCAAAACGCCAACAACUGAUACCAACCGCAAAAACUGCGUUUGCGGAGAAAUCAGUCAUACCCUAAGUUACAUUUUAAAAAGAAAACUAGAGUUUAUCCCGCACAUCGUGCGGGUAUAUUUUUAUUUUAUAAAUAUUUAAUUUUGAUAUUAUUAUAUAAAUUUAAAUAUACAAUUUAUAUCUUAGUGUUAUGUAUUUUAUAACUCUUUAAUUUUAUUGCUUAGGUUUCUUAUUACUUUAUUAAUAUAAGGGUUUGUUUUAUACAUUUUACCUUUUUUAUUACGUUUUUGAGUUUUCAUAAUUUGAAAUAAUCAAAUAAAAAAUAUUCUUCAACAUAUGAUUUUUGAAAAUAUAUAGCAGUGUGGGCUUUGGACACUGCUGCUAAGCCUUAUGAAUGGCGUAAGCUGGAACCAGAAGGGGAAGGUCCACCUACAUGCAUGUAAUUUUGCUUCCUUGGCUUAAUUUCUGUUAUGUGAUUGUUUUGUUUGCUCUUUAGUGAUAUUUGAUGUCUUGGGUUUGUACGUUAACUAGGUAUGCAACUGCAAGUGCGCGGUCUGAUGGACUUCUUCUCCUCUGUGGUGGAAGAGAUGCUAAUAGUGUGGUAAGCCAAAUAGUUCCCCUGCUACAAAGUUUAUCCCCUGUUUGAAAAUAGACACUUGCUUUGCAUUGAGCCUUUUAAGUUUAUCAGCUGGAGGAAAUUUAUAUGUUGUAUUGCUCUCAGCUACCAUUAUAUUAACGCUGCAGUGAGGUGAUAGGGGAAUAGCUUCUCUUGGCCAAUUAUUUUAAAUAAAAGUUCAGAUAGAAAAUUAUCUACCAUGUUUCCAUAAAUUGAAAAUUAUCUAUCAUGUUUCCAAAACUAGAGUUUAAGAGCUUCUUUUUCCAUCUUUAUCUUCAAUGUUUGACUGACAUGCUUUUUGUCUUUGUGUACCACUAUAUGACAGCCCCUUGCAAGUGCAUAUGGACUUGCCAAGCAUAGAGAUGGACGUUGGGAAUGGGCCAUAGCCCCUGGUGUUUCACCUUCUGCCAGAUACCAGCAUGCAGCAGUAUGAGAUGCUUCUUCUUUUCUUUUAUUCUCUUAUCUAUAAUCAUCAGAAAAAGCAACAUUUGGUGGAAUAUUCUAGGUCUUUGUAAAUGCAAGACUCCAUGUCUCUGGUGGGGCACUUGGUGGUGGACGCAUGGUAGAGGACUCAUCCAGUAUUGCAGGUUAGCAAUAGGAGAGAAACAAUCUCAUGUUUGUGUUGUUUUGGAGAUUUUCAAAUGAGAGAAUACUUGGAGUUUCUUCUUAUACAUGCAAUAUCUAAAACGAUGAAUAUGUUACUUUUAUACAACCUUAGGCCGUCGUAGUCAGUGAAUCUUACUGAAACAUAUAGUUUCUUUCUAAAAGUAUGUUAGCUGUCGUCCUUUCCUUAUCAUUCUUCCUAAAUGGACUGCAGAAGCCAAAAUUUUCUUUCAGAUGUGAGAUUCAUCUAAAAGCAUCAAACAGGGAUUGUAAUUUGUUGCACUCAUCUACUAUAGCUAUCUUCGAGGGGCUACAAUAUUCGAUUCAUAAUAAAGUGUACAUGUGGACAUCUAAAUUUCUCUGACUGGUUCAUGUGUUUUUGCUUUGUUUCAGUGUUGGAUACUGCAGCAGGUGUUUGGUGUGAUACAAAAUCGGUUGUUACUAGUCCUAGAACUGGUAGAUAUAGCGCUGAUGCAGCUGGUGGUGAUGCUUCUGGUGAACUGACUAGGCGUUGCAGGCAUGCUGCUGCUGCAGUGGGUGAUUUGAUAUUUAUCUAUGGUGGUUUGCGUGGAGGUAACGGAAAUUUUUUUAUAGUUAUUGGCAAUAUACAAUUGCAUAUUUGUUCAAUGAAUGAACCAUUUUGUAGUAUCUGAUAAUCCAAUGAUUCUGCCAAUUUGGCAUAAUAUUCCAUCGAGUUGCCAAUGUAUGAUACUUCCACACUUUCUUGUAUUGGUAGUUUGAUCUUUUUUCGAAGUCUGGUACUUUAUAUCGAUAUGUAUAAACAUUAAUCACGUAAUAUUAUAGAGUUUCUCUUAUCACCAAAUAUUAGUGCCAUUUCUCCCUCUCUUCUUUGUAGACGCGUGCACUUUUUCCAAAUUAUAGCUGCAAAACUUAACGAUAGUCUAUUGAUGCUUUAGGAGUGUUACUUGAUGAUCUACUGGUUGCUGAAGAUCUUGCCGCUGCGGAAACAACAUCUGCGGCCUCUCAUGCUGCUGCUGCAGCAGCAACAAACUCACCACCUGGCCGUUCAGCUGGAAGAUAUGGAUUUUCUGAUGAAAGGACAGGGGAACUACCGGAAUCAGCUCCUGACGCUGUUGUGCUGGGAAGCCCUGUUGCACCUCCUGUGAAUGGAGAUAUGUAUACUGAUAUAAGCACAGAAAAUGCAAUGCUCCCUGGAACUCGGUUAGCGUCUUACUUUUUCGUUUGCUUUAUUGUUAGCGCGUCUCUGCAUUUCUUCAUGAAAAUUAUUUAACAACCAACAUUGUAGGAGAACAAGCAAGGGUGUGGAGUAUCUUGUUGAAGCAUCUGCUGCGGAAGCUGAGGCUAUCAGUGCAACAUUAGCUGCAGCGAAGGCACGGCAGGUCAACGGUGAAGUUGAGCAGCCAGAUAGGGAUCGUGGUGCUGAGGCUACACCCAGUGGAAAACCUUCAUCCUCCUUAAUUAAGCCUGACUCUGCGGUGUCGACUAGUGUUAUUCCUGCAGGGGUUCGACUUCAUCAUAGAG